AAUUUCAUUUUUAAACCUUGUAUAAUUUCUAGGAAAGACCAGUGAAUGCUGCCGGGUGUAUUUAUUCAGAAGCACAGCAGAUGGAGCUGGCAGAGGCCACAGGUCACGUGGUGGACAGGGGUGGCCUUGGAACUGCGCUUCCUGUCCGACCACACAGAUACCUGGUUCUAAACGCAUGAAGAAAAUCCAAUGGAGCCAUCACUGGGGAAGAAGAAAGGAAAAUGUGCACACACAGAUACCCAUACCACUGAGAAAUCAGAGCUACUCACUCAACCCGUCCUUUCCUCUGAGCAACCUUGGGAGUGAGUUGGCAUCCACCAGGGAUAAAAACACAUGUACCCAGGUUUGGUAAGACGAUGAAACCUUUAAGAAGUGUUUAAUGAACAUCUCAAAGCUCCCUUGGAUUAAUUUUCAUACACCCUGAGCUCCUCUUAACACAUCCUCAAUGUGAGUCACAUCCAGAUAUAAGAUGGGGGAAAAGUCAAUUUUGGAAGCUCACCUGUACACUGCUGGGAUGACUAGGAAUGCUUCAUAUCGCCUAAAGUGCAUUGGCGAGGACGUUUGCUAACCUGUGAGUCACCAAGGCCUCAGAGCCCUUCGUGAUGCACGACUUGCCCACGAGCUUGCAGGGGCAUCAGGGCACAACCUGAAGGCCAGUCAGGAGCUAGUCAUCACUAUGUUCAUGUUAAUAAUCGUCUGGCUGAUCAAGGUGGUCAGCAGGGUGGUUCUACUGCAGGACACGGAGCUUGUCUCCAGCCUUUGGAUUGUGUUUGAUACGGAGCCAAGUUAGUGUCCACUCAAGGCAGAGCAUCUGCAGGGCAAAGUAGCAGGACUGAACAACGUCCCCAAAGCAGGCUAAGCAGGCAAAUGUAAGUCUAAUCAUCUCUAACAGAAGUGCAUACAAUUUUAUUCUAUUCUUUUACUUUCUUAAU